rnacentral:rRNA from 1 species
UACGUAGGGGGCAAGCGUUGUCCGGAUUUAUUGGGCGUAAAGAGCUCGUAGGCGGCUCGGUAAGUCAGGUGUGAAAACUCUAGGCUCAACCUAGAGACGCCACCUGAUACUGCUGUGGCUAGAGUCCGGUAGGGGAGCAUGGAAUUCCUGGUGUAGCGGUGAAAUGUGUAGAGAUCGGGAGGAACACCGGUGGCGAAGGCGGGUCUCUGGGCAUCUCCUGACGCUGAGGCGCGAAAGCGUGGGGAGCGAACAGG